GGUACUCAUAGAUAAAGUCAUUUUGGUUUCAGUAGUGGAUUACGAUACUUAACUGCAGAUAAAUCGAUAGUUGGUUUUAGGUGCAGCUGGAAAAAAGCACGAUGUACAUUGUAAGUGAAAAGCACAACUAGUUCACCAUGAAGUAAAACAAUUUUAAAAUAUCUGUUAUAUAAGUUUGAAGGUCUUAAGAUUCCUUGUUAUUGCAGCCAAAGCAAAUAAAAUAAUAAUAAAAUCAUAUUUUGAAUCUAGAUAAAAUACUUAC
rnacentral:lncRNA from 1 species